rnacentral:lncRNA from 1 species
GUUUCCUUAAGAGCCUCCAGCUGUUCUGCAUUUGGGGUUGAGUGCUCCUCACUGCCCUCCCUGCUGCUCCUGCUUUAGUCCCAGGGAGCUCAGUGUAAGCAGCUGUGCUUGGAGGAGCUGCCCUGUUUUGGCAGGAGCAGGACCUGGCAGCCAUUCAGGACUGCUUCUAUUGUAUUUACGUGGAAUUUGGUCACCUGUGGCUUCAGGCAGCCCAAAUCUCUCAGGAUGUGCAGGACAGGGAUGUGUUCCCGUUUCACACGAGGCCUCACGCUGAGGCUCCACAGUUGGCAUCAGUGCCCAAGAGCAGAUCUACAGUAUGAAUGUCCUUCCUGGAGGUAUUUCUGCAGAUGUGGAAGAAGGACCAACCCAGCUGAUUGUGGGGGAUUACAGCUAUUAACCAGGUUGCCAUGAAGUGUCGGAGCUGCCUGGAAGGCCAUAACCAAACGACUGCCAGCUCGGCUGCCAUCGAUUUUCACGGAGCAGGACCCAGCCCUGGGUAAUAAAGUGUAAAAACACGAUUCCCCCA